rnacentral:rRNA from 1 species
GACAGAGGCCCCAAGCGUUAGGCGGAAUCACUGGGCUUAAAGCGUGUGUAGGCGGACGCCUAAGUGUCUUGUGAAAUCCCACGGCUCACCCGUGGAACUGCUGGGCAUACUGGCGGUCUUGAGCCAGCUAGGGGCUACCGGAACAAAUGGUGGAGCGGUGAGAUGCGUAGAUAUCAUUUGGAACGCCAAUGGUGAAAACAGGUAGCUGGGGCUGUGCUGACACUGAGACACGAAAGCCAGGGGAGCAAACGGG